rnacentral:rRNA from 1 species
AGUGAACGCUGGCGGUAGGCCUAACACAUGCAAGUCGAACGGCAGCACAGUAAGAGCUUGCUCUUACGGGUGGCGAGUGGCGGACGGGUGAGGAAUACAUCGGAAUCUACUUUUUCGUGGGGGAUAACGUAGGGAAACUUACGCUAAUACCGCAUACGACCUGCGGGUGAAAACAGGGGAUCUUCGGACCUUGCGCGAUUGAAUGAGCCGAUGUCGGAUUAGCUAGUUGGCGGGGUAAAGGCCCACCAAGGCGACGAUCCGUAGCUGGUCUGAGAGGAUGAUCAGCCACACUGGAACUGAGACACGGUCCAGACUCCUACGGGAGGCAGCAGUGGGGAAUAUUGGACAAUGGGCGCAAGCCUGAUCCAGCCAUACCGCGUGGGUGAAGAAGGCCUUCGGGUUGUAAAGCCCUUUUGUUGGGAAAGAAAAGCAGCAGGUUAAUACCCCGCUGUUCUGACGGUACCCAAAGAAUAAGCACCGGCUAACUUCGUG